UCUUGCUCACUUUUGGUCUCUCUGACCUUUUUGUAUUAAUUCCCUUUCUUUUAUGGUUUGAUCAUGCACUUGAUAGUUCUUGAGGGCCCUCCUCAAGGAUUGUACAAAUGUAAAAUACCACUACUUUUAACAUAGCACAGUUGUAGCCUCUCCUACUAUUUUCACCUCAAUAAACGGCUGAACCCGUUGGGCCCAUUUGUCCAAUAUAUUGACCAGACAAACUUGCAAAUCGAUUAUAAAUGAUGGAUUAUUGUCACCAAAAACAAACUUAGUUGAAAAAUCGGUGGGUCAAAGGUGACGGUCUUGGCCCAUCAAUGAAGAUGGACAUUCAUCACAAAACUUAAUUCGCCACCUAUGAUACAAUCUUAGCUGUCUAAAAAGGUGGAACCAUAAAGAUUGUUUUUGGCGUUAGCGCUUCAGUGUUGGUGGGGGUGACUGCCAAAAAUUGUCAACGGAACAUAUUCGGUGAGUAAAAUUAGUUUUAGAUGACACAAGUGAGCCGUCGUUAAAAAUCCUCCGUUUUGUAGUGAUUUUUAGUAUGCAAUCACAAUACCAAGAAAAUGGCGGGUAAAUCUAGGUUUACAUUGGGAAGGUAAAUCAUGAUUUUUAUGUGAAAAGUAAUUUAAAUUUUAGUAACACCUUUUGUGUAACCCGUUGCAACGCACAUACAAUUAACUAGACAUUUAAUUAAAACCGAUGUUCCAUGCAAAAGAAGUCUGACAUCCAUGUGUUUAGUGCGGUGAUAGCGUAGGGUUGACACUGCUUUCACUACUACAGAAUAAAAAGCAUCACUAUAAUAUAGAAAAUUGUUUCACUGCCUGUUUUUCCCCGCUUGUACAUACGUACAAAUAUAUGUUUACGAUUUUCAAAAUUUCAAUCUAAAUAACUGAAAUUAUAUUUGU
rnacentral:lncRNA from 1 species